CCUACGGGAGGCUGCAGUGGGGAAUAUUGGACAAUGGGCGAAAGCCUGAUCCAGCCAUGCCGCGUGUGUGAAGAAGGCCUUCGGGUUGUAAAGCACUUUCAGUGGGGAAGAAAGCCUUGGGGCUAAUACCCUCGAGGAAGGACAUCACCCACAGAAGAAGCACCGGCUAACUCCGUGCCAGCAGCCGCGGUAAUACGGAGGGUGCGAGCGUUAAUCGGAAUUACUGGGCGUAAAGCGCGCGUAGGCGGUCUGAUAAGCCGGUUGUGAAAGCCCCGGGCUCAACCUGGGAACGGCAUCCGGAACUGUCAGGCUAGAGUGCAGGAGAGGAAGGUAGAAUUCCCGGUGUAGCGGUGAAAUGCGUAGAGAUCGGGAGGAAUACCAGUGGCGAAGGCGGCCUUCUGGACUGACACUGACGCUGAGGUGCGAAAGCGUGGGUAGCAAACAGGAUUAAUACCCUGGUGUC
rnacentral:rRNA from 1 species